CUGCCCAGUGAACAUAACAAUAGUUAUUACGUUUCAACGGCCGCGGUAUUCCUGACCGUGCUAAGGUAGCACAAUCAUGAGCCUCUUAAUUAGGGGAUAGAAUGAAUGAAUUAACAAGAAAUAUGCUGUCUCUUUUUUGCAAAUUGAAAUUUAGAUCUAGGUGCAAACUCCUAGAUUUUUAACAAAGACAGAAAGACCCUAUAAGCUUUUAUUCUAAUAUUUUAUAAAUAAAAAAAUAUUUAAUUGGGGCGAUUUUAAGUAAAAAACACUUUUUAUAAUUAGAGAAAUAACUCAUUAAAUCUAUCUAAUAGCAUAUAAGUAAGUUACUAUAGGGAUAACAGGCUAAUACUUCUUGAGAGCACAUAUCAACAGAAGUGCUUAGCACCUCGAUGUUGGCUUAAGGAACCUAAUCUAUGCAGAAGUAGAAUAAGGGGGUUUGUUCAACCUUUAAUUCCUUACGUGAUCU
rnacentral:rRNA from 1 species